UACGUAGGCAGCAAGCGUUGUUCGGAAUUACUGGGCGUAAAGCGCGCGCAGGCGGCGAUCUACGUCUGGGGUGAAAGCCCGGAGCUCAACUCCGGGACUGCCUUGGAUACGGGAUCGCUUAAGGAUUGGAGAGGCAAGGGGAAUUCCACGUGUAGCGGUGAAAUGCGUAGAGAUGUGGAGGAACACCUGUGGCGAAGGCGCCUUGCUGGCCAAUUACUGACGCUGAGGCGCGAAAGCGUGGGGAGCAAACAGG
rnacentral:rRNA from 1 species